rnacentral:other from 1 species
AACCGCCUGCCCUGUGCGAUUUGUUGCGCCUACGUUAAAUCCUACUAACCAAUCAUCGGGAGCCCGGUGUCCGUGGAGGGAUUGCAGACCUCCCGCCGUUGCGGAAGAAGGGAGCAUGAAACCCAUGGCAGGGCACCCACCUGCCAAAGAGGUAGGUUUUGGUUUGGCGCAGACGGCAGGGUGGGCUUUGC